AAUAGAUACCCGGGUAGUCCACGCCGUAAACGAUGAGUGCUAAGUGUUAGAGGGUUUCCGCCCUUUAGUGCUGCAGCUAACGCAUUAAGCACUCCACCUGGGGAGUACGGUCGCAAGACUGAAACUCAAAGGAAUUGACGGGGGCCCGCACAAGCGGUGGAGCAUGUGGUUUAAUUCGAAGCAACGCGAAGAACCUUACCAGGUCUUGACAUCCUCUGACAACUCUAGAGAUAGAGCGUUCCCCUUCGGAGGACAGAGUGACAGGUGGUGCAUGGUUGUCGUCAGCUCGUGUCGUGAGAUGUUGGGUUAGGUCCCGCAACGAGCGCAACCCUUGAUCUUAGUUGCCAGCAUUUAGUUGGGCACUCUAAGGUGACUGCCGGUGACAAACCGGAGGAAGGUGGGGAUGACGUCAAAUCAUCAUGCCCCUUAUGACCUGGGCUACACACGUGCUACAAUGGAUGGUACAAAGGGCUGCAAGACCGCGAGGUCAAGCCAAUCCCAUAAAACCAUUCUCAGUUCGGAUUGU
rnacentral:rRNA from 1 species